CCUACGGGAGGCAGCAGUGAGGAAUAUUGGUCAAUGGACGAGAGUCUGAACCAGCCAAGUAGCGUGAAGGAUGACUGCCCUAUGGGUUGUAAACUUCUUUUAUAAAGGAAUAAAACGAGGCACGUGUGCCUUUUUGCAUGUACUUUAUGAAUAAGGAUCGGCUAACUCCGUGCCAGCAGCCGCGGUAAUACGGAGGAUCCGAGCGUUAUCCGGAUUUAUUGGGUUUAAAGGGAGCGUAGAUGGGUUGUUAAGUCAGUUGUGAAAGUUUGCGGCUCAACCGUAAAAUUGCAAUUGAUACUGGCAGUCGUGAGUACAGUUGAGGUAGGCGGAAUUCGUGGUGUAGCGGUGAAAUGCUUAGAUAUCACGAAGAACCCCGAUUGCGAAGGCAGCUUACUAAACUGUGACUGACAUUGAUGCUCGAAAGUGUGGGUAUCAAACAGGAUUAGCUACCCCAGUAGUC
rnacentral:rRNA from 1 species